GACGAGCGCUGGCGGCGUGCUUAACACAUGCAAGUCGAACGGAAAGGCCCUGCUUUUGUGGGGUGCUCGAGUGGCGAACGGGUGAGUAACACGUGAGUAACCUGCCCUUGACUUUGGGAUAACUUCAGGAAACUGGGGCUAAUACCGGAUAGGAGCUCCUGCUGCAUGGUGGGGGUUGGAAAGUUUCGGCGGUUGGGGAUGGACUCGCGGCUUAUCAGCUUGUUGGUGGGGUAGUGGCUUACCAAGGCUUUGACGGGUAGCCGGCCUGAGAGGGUGACCGGCCACAUUGGGACUGAGAUACGGCCCAGACUCCUACGGGAGGCAGCAGUGGGGAAUAUUGCACAAUGGGCGGAAGCCUGAUGCAGCAAAGCCGCGUGCGGGAUAACGGCCUUCGGGUUGUAAACCGCUUUCGCCUGUGACGAAGCGUGAGUGACGGUAAUGGGUAAAGAAGCACCGGCUAACUACGUG
rnacentral:rRNA from 1 species